rnacentral:rRNA from 1 species
AGUGAACGCUGGCGGUAGGCCUAACACAUGCAAGUCGAACGGCAGCACAGUAAGAGCUUGCUCUUACGGGUGGCGAGUGGCGGACGGGUGAGGAAUACAUCGGAAUCUACUUUUUCGUGGGGGAUAACGUAGGGAAACUUACGCUAAUACCGCAUACGACCUACGGGUGAAAGCAGGGGAUCUUCGGACCUUGCGCGAUUGAAUGAGCCGAUGUCGGAUUAGCUAGUUGGUGGGGUAAAGGCCCACCAAGGCGACGAUCCGUAGCUGGUCUGAGAGGAUGAUCAGCCACACUGGAACUGAGACACGGUCCAGACUCCUACGGGAGGCAGCAGUGGGGAAUAUUGGACAAUGGGCGCAAGCCUGAUCCAGCCAUACCGCGUGGGUGAAGAAGGCCUUCGGGUUGUAAAGCCCUUUUGCUGGGAAAGAAAAGCAGCAGGUUAAUACCCCGCUGUUCUGACGGUACCCAAAGAAUAAGCACCGGCUAACUUCGUG